GCAAAUGUUAAUCCAGAGAAAUUGGUUUGGAGUAUAAAACAAGAAUAUAAGAUGGAUUGUGGUUCACCUUUUUUUCUACUUUCUUUUGUCUCUCUUUUCCCUCUCUUGUAAAGUUUUAUUGCUUUUAAUUUAUUUUUGCAUAUAACUUGUGAGGUUUUCCAGAGCUUCUUUUUCUAUUUUCUCAUGACUCUUAUUGAUACUUGAAACUUUAGGUUUUAAUU
rnacentral:misc_RNA from 1 species